CUCCCGUAAGGGCGUGAAGAACGGGUGCACUGCAUGAAGUCAGAUUCACUGAGGUGUAUUUCUAAGGCAGGCCACCGAACUUCUGAGCUACAUGCCCGGCUACAGAUACCCAAUUGUGGCAGACGCUCUCCUUUUCCACACUGAAUUGCCGUGGCCAUUCAUCAGAAACCAACCCGCCUGCGCGGACCCCGUCUGGGCUCUGCCCAUCCUUAUCCCGACACCACUCUUAAUGGCCGAACUGCUGUUACAAGACUCAGGUCAUGACAUCAGCUGCUUUACUAGAAUCAGCCUUUGCACACAAAUGAGUGGACACUUCUGGAGAGCUGGAGACGAAUUCUUACAAACCUAAAGCCUGCUGCUGCUAGUGAGUAAAAUCCUGGGUAUUCCACACCCAAAUGCUUUUACUGGGAAAACUAGCGAACUGCUAUCACAUUGGACUGAUCCCAGGAAUGGGCGGGUUGUGGGCCUACAGGAACCGAGCUGUGGGUGGGAGGACUUCAUGAGAUGGCAUCAAGCUGAUCCUCAUUAAAGAAGGGCUUCCUAAAGGCUACGGGCAAGGACACAGGACAAGUACGUGGGACAGAAUGGCAUUAUUAAGUACUGGUAAUGCUACUUUAAUCCUAUUAUGUUUUCAUUCUCCUUUUAAAAGGUCUUCUAUUUAGGUGUCAUAAUGCAAAGUUUAAGUAUCUAAUAAUGAAUUUUUUAAAUUGCAGUAUCAUGGCUGGGGAUGUAGCUCAGUGGUUCUGCCACCUGCCUUGCAAGCGCAAGGACCCCAGUUUGACCUCCGGUGGAAAACAAACUCCAAACACUGAAACUGCAGUAUCACAGGACAGGAAGAAACAGAAAACUUUUGGUCACACAUAUCAUUUGUCCUAUUAAUUAUUAUUAUUUUUCAGUGUUGGGGAGGGAACCGAUGGCCUGGUGCAUGUGGCACGAGUGCUCUACCACUGAGCUGUACCAUCAACCCCCUAUUAAUUCAUAUUAAAUAAUGGCAUUUAUGUAGCAGAAAAGCAAUUUCACGUAAACACCUAUUUUUCGUAUUUUAACACAUCUAAUAUAUAUGAUCUUAAGUGGUAUUUUAUUUUCAUUGUUAAAGCAGUAAUAUACACGCGCGUAAUUUCUUUAACAUACCACGCUGCACUUUUGUUUUUGGUCCGGAGAGGCUGUCGUGUCAGGAGCUGGAGCCCUCAAGCUGCCCUCUUGAAUACACGGCUCAUCUUCCCUCCAAAACGCUGGCGCGGCCCAAAACUUGGUCCAGGCCUGGCUGGAGGCCCACACACCGCGCCCCGCCUGAGUCCGCUGUGAUUCACGCCUGGGGCCCGGUCUGGCCCGGCAGGGAGGAGCACAGACGGGGCGUGGGAGGAGGGCGAGGAAGAGCUUGCUCGUGAACCUGCCAGUUUGCGAGGGCCCUUCUGGAAGUCAGGCCUGCCCUGUUAUUCCCGCUGCUCCUGAACCUUGAUGGCUCCCUUCCUCCUUCGUUCGGUCUCGGUGACCCAGGUUAGGGUCCACUUUAGAGCCUACAUUGCGGCUAAGGCAGUGCUUUUCAAACAAAAAACAAAAACAAGGCUUCCUGGCCUGGUUAGCGUGCACAAAGCUCUAGGUUGUUGGUGUUUAAACUGUGGUCACACACAUCACACACACAGGACCUAAACAUUUCAGUACAAAAACAUUUCAGGGACAAAAGAGACACUCUUCUCCCACUGGACACCUCCAGGUGUGGCCAGCCAGCCUCAGAGCUUCCCUGGCAGUGGGACAGGCCGAGGAAUCCCCAACGGCGCUGUGGCCACUGACGUUGCUGUCAGAACUGUGAGGUGGAAAGGUAUUUGUGCUUCUGCAGGCUGUCCCCUCUGACACAGUUUAGCAGCACCCGGUCCACAGCUGCAGGACCUCCUGGCAGGACUGGACAUCUUCACAGCAGCUGUGGCCGGGGCCAUCUGGUCCCUAUACACACAGCAAUGACAGUUCUUUGGGGAGAAAACACACCAGAUCCCAAAGUAAUUAGACAGAAGUUGGACUCUGUCCUGGAGAAGAUACUAAGAAAGCCAGAGAAGAACACAACGCAGCAGAAAUGAGAGGAGAGCGCCUUUAAUCUCACAGGCCUUAGGGCACAAUUGAGUCUCGCCUCCGCCUCCGUGGGACUGGGCUUCCCUGGAGGAGCGGGUGAAACGGGUCAUCUGCAUGCUGCCAGCUGCCACUGUGAAGCCCUCUCUGUGAGUGAGAAAUCCGAGGCAGUCUGGGUUCCCGAUGUGGCCUGGCUGGUCCUAAUCAGACCCGAGAGGCUGCUGCACGCACAAGCAAAUCCGUGCCCUUUGGCUCACUGACGGUAGGAAAUUCAACCAUCAGGCUGGACAGAAAGCCCGUGCUUGCCAGCAGGCAUGCUCUCUGCUCCACGGAAACUCCAGCAGAUGCUGCUUGGACUUGUGUUUCCGUUUCUGUUUUUGUUUUUUGGACACAAGGUCUCGCUGUGCAGUCCAGGCUGG